rnacentral:tRNA from 1 species
UCCUUGAUGGUCCAGUGGUUAAGACACCUCACUUUCAAUGACCAAGGCUCAAGUUGGAUCCCUGGUCAGGGAA